UACGUAGGUGGCAAGCGUUGUCCGGAAUUAUUGGGCGUAAAGCGCGCGCAGGCGGUCCUUUAAGUCUGAUGUGAAAGCCCACGGCUCAACCGUGGAGGGUCAUUGGAAACUGGGGACUUGAGUGCAGAAGAGGAGAGUGGAAUUCCACGUGUAGCGGUGAAAUGCGUAGAGAUCGGGAGGAACACCAGUGGCGAAGGCGGCUACCUGGACCAGCACUGACACUGAAGCACGAAAGCGUGGGGAGCAAACAGG
rnacentral:rRNA from 1 species